UACAUGAAACAGAGAUAAUUUAAGACACACAUCUUCAGCAAAUACAGCAAAUGUCAAAAUUAUUUUUCAUUAAACUCAUGGUUUUUAGUCUAAUGUGUUAAUGUGAGCACACAGACUUGUUUAUCCACUCUUGGGUGCGGAUGAGCAGGUAUCUGUGUCACCUGAGGGUGGAUCCAUAGUAUAAAUACGAGCGUGAAAACAGCAUUUCCACACUGGAGAGCAAGACGAGACAAGAGUGUUUACGGACGUGUCGAAUAUCUGAACAUCUCAACAUGAGUGAUCCACAACAACAGCAGGUAAGAUUUUUAUAAUUUUAUAAUUCCUCUCAAAUAUACAAAUGUGCAUUUUAAGUUUGCAUUUUAAGGCUGGUUUAAAAUAAUGAUACACCAAUCAUUUUGCAUAUUAGCAGGGAUGCGGAGAUUCUGGCUCUGAG